CUAAGCGUACACGGUGGAUGCCCUGGCAGUCAGAGGCGAUGAAGGGCGUGCUAAUCUGCGAUAAGCGCCGGUAAGGUGAUAUGAACCGUUAUAACCGGCGAUACCCGAAUGGGGAAACCCAGUGUGACUCGUCACACUAUCAUUAACUGAAUCCAUAGGUUAAUGAGGCGAACCGGGGGAACUGAAACAUCUAAGUACCCCGAGGAAAAGAAAUCAACCGAGAUUCCCCCAGUAGCGGCGAGCGAACGGGGAGGAGCCCAGAGCCUGAAUCAGCAUGUGUGUUAGUGGAAGCGUCUGGAAAGGCGCGCGAUACAGGGUGACAGCCCCGUACACAAAAGCGCAUGUGCUGUGAGCUCGAUGAGUAGGGCGGGACACGUGGUAUCCUGUCUGAAUAUGGGGGGACCAUCCUCCAAGGCUAAAUACUCCUGACUGACCGAUAGUGAACCAGUACCGUGAGGGAAAGGCGAAAAGAACCCCGGCGAGGGGAGUGAAAAAGAACCUGAAACCGUGUACGUACAAGCAGUGGGAGCACCCUUUGGGGUGUGACUGCGUACCUUUUGUAUAAUGGGUCAGCGACUUAUAUUCUGUAGCAAGGUUAACCGUAUAGGGGAGCCGGAGGGAAACCGAGUCUUAACCGGGCGUUAAGUUGCAGGGUAUAGACCCGAAACCCGGUGAUCUAGCCAUGGGCAGGUUGAAGGUUGGGUAACACUAACUGGAGGACCGAACCGACUAAUGUUGAAAAAUUAGCGGAUGACCUGUGGCUGGGGGUGAAAGGCCAAUCAAACCGGGAGAUAGCUGGUUCUCCCCGAAAGCUAUUUAGGUAGCGCCUCGUGAACUCAUCUCCGGGGGUAGAGCACUGUUUCGGCUAGGGGGCCAUCCCGGCUUACCAACCCGAUGCAAACUGCGAAUACCGGAGAAUGUUAUCACGGGAGACACACGGCGGGUGCUAACGUCCGUCGUGAAGAGGGAAACAACCCAGACCGCCAGCUAAGGUCCCAAAGUCAUGGUUAAGUGGGAAACGAUGUGGGAAGGCCCAGACAGCCAGGAUGUUGGCUUAGAAGCAGCCAUCAUUUAAAGAAAGCGUAAUAGCUCACUGGUCGAGUCGGCCUGCGCGGAAGAUGUAACGGGGCUAAACCAUGCACCGAAGCUGCGGCAGCGACACUCAGGUGUUGUUGGGUAGGGGAGCGUUCUGUAAGCCUGCGAAGGUGGCCUGUGAGGGUUGCUGGAGGUAUCAGAAGUGCGAAUGCUGACAUAAGUAACGAUAAAGCGGGUGAAAAGCCCGCUCGCCGGAAGAC
rnacentral:rRNA from 1 species